rnacentral:rRNA from 1 species
GACGAACGCUGGCGGCGUGCUUAACACAUGCAAGUCGAACGGAAAGGCCCUGCUUGCCGGGUACUCGAGUGGCGAACGGGUGAGUAACACGUGGGUGAUCUGCCCUGCACUUCGGGAUAAGCCUGGGAAACUGGGUCUAAUACCGGAUAGGAGCCAUUUUUAGUGUGAUGGUUGGAAAGUUUUUUCGGUGUAGGAUGAGCUCGCGGCCUAUCAGCUUGUUGGUGGGGUAAUGGCCUACCAAGGCGGCGACGGGUAGCCGGCCUGAGAGGGUGGACGGCCACAGUGGGACUGGGAUACGGCCCAGACUCCUACGGGAGGCAGGAAUGGGGAAUAUUGCACAAAGGGCGCGAGCCUGAUGCAGCGACGCCGCGUGGGGGAUGACGGCCUUCGGGUUGUAAACUCGUUUCGCUAGGGACGAAGCUUUUUGUGACGGUACCUAGAUAAGAAGCACCGGCUAACUACGUG